rnacentral:rRNA from 1 species
CGUAGGUGGCGAGCGUUGUCCGGAAUUACUGGGUGUAAAGGGCGUGUAGGCGGGAAUGUAAGUCAGAUGUGAAAUGCCGAGGCUUAACCUCGGAGCUGCAUCUGAAACUGCGUUUCUUGAGUGUCGGAGAGGAAAGUGGAAUUCCCAGUGUAGCGGUGAAAUGCGUAGAUAUUGGGAGGAACACCAGUGGCGAAGGCGACUUUCUGGACGAUAACUGACGCUGAGGCGCGAAAGCGUGGGGAGCAAACAGGAUUAGAUACCCUGGUAGUCCACGCCGUAAACGAUGGAUACUAGGUGUAGGAGGUAUCGACCCCUUCUGUGCCGGAGUUAACACAAUAAGUAUCCCACCUGGGGAGUACGGCCGCAAGGUUG